GAUGAAGAACGUAGCAAAAUGCGAUACUUGGUGUGAAUUGCAGAAUCCCGUGAACCAUCGAGUUUUUGAACGCAAGUUGCGCCCGAAGCCUUUUGGCCGAGGGCACGUCUGCCUGGGCGUCACGCAUCGCGUCGCCCCCAACAAAUUCUCCGUCAGGGGAGCUUGUGUUUCGGGGGCGGAUACUGGUCUCCCGUGCUCAUGGCGCGGUUGGCCGAAAUAGGAGUCCCUUCGAUGGGCGCACGAACUAGUGGUGGUCGUAAAAACCCUCGUCUUUUGUUUCGUGCCGUUAGUCGCGAGGGAAGCUCUUCAAAAACCCCAGCGCGUCGUCUCUUGACGGCGCUUCGACCGCGACCCCAGGUCAGGCGGGACUACCCGCUGAGUUUAAGCAUAUCAAUAAGCGGAGGA
rnacentral:misc_RNA from 1 species